AUGGAAGCGGGCCGCGCGACAAUCGUCGCCUCCGCCGUGGCCAGGUUGAAGCCACCGCGGGCGACGCUGACGCAUGACGCUCCGGCCGCCGUCCUCGCGCCGCCCGUCGCCGACGCCCCGCACGCCGAGUGGCGGGGGCUACCCGACGACGUCGUCGCCAGGGUGCUCGUCCGCCUCCCCGUCGUCGACCUGUUCCGCCUCGGCUACCUCUUCUCCCCGCGCUGGCUCGACAUCUGGCGCGCCGAGCCGCUGUAUCUCCAUGACCGCCAGUUCGCCUCUCCCCGGAUCGCCGCCGCCGACGUCGCCGACGCCAUUGCCAACGUUCUCGAGCUCCACGUAGGCGACGGCGUCCAGUUCGUAGGCGUACAAGGAGAGAACGGGAGCGACGACGACGACGACGGAGAUGGAGGUGGAGGCAACGAGGUAGUUGGCGCGGAUGGCCACGAUUCUGGACCCGGGGUUGCCGUCGAACUCGAACACGAGGCAGCAGAUCAAGGCGGUGGAGUCGUCAACAAUUCUGACGGUGGAGGUGUCGCCGGCCGCCGUCGCCUCCGAUUCCCUGGAGGCGUAGGCGCCGACGACGGCGUCAUCAGCGACGACGACAUCUACGGCCACGACGACAUCCCAGAUGGUGGUUACGAGAUCGGCCGCGUCUACAGCUUCCGAGUGGAGACCACGCGGUGGCGCGCCGACCAACUCCACCGCUGGUGCGCCGCGCUCCAGCGCGGCCGUGUUCGUGAGGUCACCCUCGCCAACCUCACCAUGGAAGGGCACCCCGAGCUCCCCCAGGGCAUCCGCGACUGCGCCACAAGCCUCAAGGGACUCCACGUCUUCUUCUUCACCAUGGAAGCCGACCACAUCGACUCCCUCGUCAACCUCCGCGUCCUCGGGCUGUAUGGCUGCCCCGGCAUGAUCCUGCGAGCACUCCGCCCCGAAUCGGAAAUCCGGGUGCUGACGAUCGACUUCAGCCGUCUGGUAGACGUCCUCGUCCAGACCACGCGCCUCCGCUCUCUGGAGAUGCACAACAACGUGGUGCAGGGCACGGUCGUCGUGCACGACGCCAUCCAACUCCGGAAGCUGCACCUGUUACCACCGACGAGACCAUCCAAGAUCUUCAUCGGUGAAGCGCCCAGCCUGCGAAGCAUCGGCUAUCUCGAUCUCUUCAACACCGUCUUCGUGAUCAAAGGCAUUGUGAUUCAGGCUGGGAUGGUGCUGCAUCCUCCAAAGAUGCGUUCUGUCAGGAUUCUCGGCUUACGGGUGAACUACACAGAGAUGGGUCACAGGGUGCCCCGUGAGAUAGAGCAGAUUCUGAAGUGUUUCCCAUGCUUAGAGAAACUGGAGAUCAUGAGAUACGAUGAGGUUGCACCAGAAGAAGGGCUCCUCAAAGCGGAUGAUGAACACAUCUAUCAAGGGAACAAUUUCUUCCGUGACCUUGGUUGUUUCAGCCAUCACCUGAGGUGGAUAUAUCUUACAGCUUUCAGAGGGGGCAAGUAUGAACUUGCUCUGGGCAAAGCCAUCCUCGACGAAGCUCGAGCCGGGACAAUGUUCAAAAUGCUACACCCACAAGGCAGCUAUACGGACUACAUCUCUAACCAGCUAUGGCGGGCUCUCGAACAUUUCAGAAUGACCACUCCAAAUCAUGCUGUCAGAGAUCGACAUGUGUCCGUUAUUCUACGUUUGAGAAAGGCCGGGGAUCUUCCCGGCUAGCAACGCAAGCUGCGAGCUAGCCGGUCCGGAUUCGAGCCUCACCCUCUCCUUAAUUCAAAAUUAAUCUAGUCAUUCCUAGAUUGGUCUUAUUUGUUUUGUGUCCAUUAUUCUAAGUUGAGUUACUUGAAGAAGGCUACUCCAGGUUGUUGUUCUGCGCUGCUGUACUACUGUCAGAGAGGUUAGGCUGCGCUCUUUUCUUCAAUUUGUCUAGCUGGUCAAAUGAUGUAUGCUAAGUGAGCGAAUUGUGAAUGAUGCUCUCUUUGAGUCUGCAUAAUUGAACAAUUACAAAUCUUGAUAGCAGUAAAAGAAGAUACAGUAUCUUGA
rnacentral:lncRNA from 1 species